UACGUAGGGGGCAAGCGUUGCCCGGAUUUAUUGGGCGUAAAGAGCGUGUAGGCGGCCAAGCAGGUCUGCUGUGAAAACUCGAGGCUCAACCUCGAGACGUCGGUGGAAACCGUUUGGCUAGAGUCCGGAAGAGGAGAGUGGAAUUCCCGGUGUAGCGGUGAAAUGCGCAGAUAUCGGGAAGAACACCCGUGGCGAAGGCGGCUCUCUGGGACGGUACUGACGCUGAGACGCGAAAGCGUGGGGAGCGAACAGG
rnacentral:rRNA from 1 species